rnacentral:misc_RNA from 1 species
CCUUAAAGAACCUGCCUUUGUAGUGCUCACACAGAUUGUCUGAUAAACGUAAAGAAGCAAGGCGUCUUGCGAUUGAGACUUCAGUGUCCCCUUCGUCUAGAGGCCCAGGACACCGCCCUUUCGCGGCGGUAACAGGGGUUCGAAUCCCCUAGGGGACGCCACUUGCUGGUUCGUGAGUGAAAGACGCGUGCCGAUGUAUCUCAAAACUCAUCUUCGGGUGAUGUUUGAGAUAUUUGCUCUUUAAAAAUCUGGAUCAAGCUGAAAAUUGAAACGACACACAGCUAAUGUGUGUUCGAGUCUCUCAAAUUUUCGCGACACGAUGAUGUUUUACGAAACAUCUUCGGGUUGUGA